rnacentral:lncRNA from 1 species
CUCUCUACAUGUAAAAUCACAAGUUGCGAUUGCGUGCCAAUUGUGUAUGGGAAACUUCAGGAUGCAACAAUUACAACAGCGUCGAUGACAGAAGUGUUGAGGACCUGUUUUGUAAUUGUAACAUGACUCUCUCUCUCUCUCUCUUUCUCGUCUUUCUUCUUCUGCUGCGGUUUUAGUUUGGGGUGUGGGGUCCUAUUAAUGGAUGUCGAACGCAAAUUUGGGUUUUGGAUCUGGAUCGGGUAAACUCUCAGCCCUAUGAUUUCAGGUUUCCCUCUCUCUCUCAUCG